AUUGAACGCUGGCGGCAUGCCUUACACAUGCAAGUCGAACGGUAACGGGCCUUCGGGUGCCGACGAGUGGCGAACGGGUGAGUAAUACAUCGGAACGUGCCCGAUCGUGGGGGAUAACGAGGCGAAAGCUUUGCUAAUAUCGCAUACGAUCUACGGAUGAAAGCAGGGGACCGCAAGGCCUUGCGCGGACGGAGCGGCCGAUGGCAGAUUAGGUAGUUGGUGGGAUAAAAGCUUACCAAGCCGACGAUCUGUAGCUGGUCUGAGAGGAUGAUCAGCCACACUGGGACUGAGACACGGCCCAGACUCCUACGGGAGGCAGCAGUGGGGAAUUUUGGACAAUGGGCGCAAGCCUGAUCCAGCCAUGCCGCGUGCAGGAUGAAGGCCUUCGGGUUGUAAACUGCUUUUGUACGGAACGAAAAGCCUUCUUUUAAUACAGGAGGGUCAUGACGGUACCGUAAGAAUAAGCACCGGCUAACUACGUG
rnacentral:rRNA from 1 species